CUACGGGUUGCUGCAGUGGGGAAUAUUGCACAAUGGAGGAAACUCUGAUGCAGCAACGCCGCGUGGAGGAUGACACUUUUCGGAGCGUAAACUCCUUUUAUAUAGGAAGAAGAUGACGGUACUAUAUGAAUAAGCGCCGGCUAACUCCGUGCCAGCAGCCGCGGUAAUACGGAGGGCGCAAGCGUUACUCGGAAUCACUGGGCGGAAAGAGCGUGUAGGCGGAUUAAAAAGUCAGAAGUGAAAUCCUAUAGCUUAACUAUAGAACUGCUUCUGAAACUCUUAAUCUAGAAUAUGGGAGAGGUAGAUGGAAUUUCUGGUGUAGGGGUAAAAUCCGUAGAGAUCAGAAGGAAUACCGAUUGCGAAGGCGAUCUGCUAGAACAUUAUUGACGCUGAGACGCGAAAGCGUGGGGAGCAAACAGGAUUAGAUACCCCGGUAGUC
rnacentral:rRNA from 1 species